rnacentral:rRNA from 1 species
ACGCUGGCGGCAGGCCUAACACAUGCAAGUCGAGCGGUAGAGAGAAGCUUGCUUCUCUUGAGAGCGGCGGACGGGUGAGUAAUGCCUAGGAAUCUGCCUGGUAGUGGGGGAUAACGUUCGGAAACGGACGCUAAUACCGCAUACGUCCUACGGGAGAAAGCAGGGGACCUUCGGGCCUUGCGCUAUCAGAUGAGCCUAGGUCGGAUUAGCUAGUUGGUGGGGUAAUGGCUCACCCAAGGCGACGAUCCGUAACUGGUCUGAGAGGAUGAUCAGUCACACUGGAACUGAGACACGGUCCAGACUCCUACGGGAGGCAGCAGUGGGGAAUAUUGGACAAUGGGCGAAAGCCUGAUCCAGCCAUGCCGCGUGUGUGAAGAAGGUCUUCGGAUUGUAAAGCACUUUAAGUUGGGAGGAAGGGUUGUAGAUUAAUACUCUGCAAUUUUGACGUUACCGACAGAAUAAGCACCGGCUAACUCUGUGCCAGCAGCCGCGGUAAUACAGAGGGUGCAAGCGUUAAUCGGAAUUACUGGGCGUAAAGCGCGCGUAGGUGGUUAGUUAAGUUGGAUGUGAAAUCCCCGGGCUCAACCUGGGAACUGCAUUCAAAACUGACUGACUAGAGUAUGGUAGAGGGUGGUGGAAUUUCCUGUGUAGCGGUGAAAUGCGUAGAUAUAGGAAGGAACACCAGUGGCGAAGGCGACCACCUGGACUGAUACUGACACUGAGGUGCGAAAGCGUGGGGAGCAAAC